AUUGAACGCUGGCGGAAUGCUUUACACAUGCAAGUCGAACGGCAGCACGGGGCAACCUGGUGGCGAGUGGCGAACGGGUGAGUAAUACAUCGGAACGUGCCCAAUCGUGGGGGAUAACGUAGCGAAAGUUACGCUAAUACCGCAUACGAUCUACGGAUGAAAGCGGGGGAUCGCAAGACCUCGCGCGAGUGGAGCGGCCGAUGUCAGAUUAGGUAGUUGGUGGGGUAAAGGCUCACCAAGCCAACGAUCUGUAGCUGGUCUGAGAGGACGACCAGCCACACUGGGACUGAGACACGGCCCAGACUCCUACGGGAGGCAGCAGUGGGGAAUUUUGGACAAUGGGCGCAAGCCUGAUCCAGCCAUGCCGCGUGCAGGAUGAAGGCCUUCGGGUUGUAAACUGCUUUUGUACGGAACGAAAAGACUCUCUCUAAUACAGGGGUGAAUGACGGUACCGUAAGAAUAAGCAUCGGCUAACUACGUGCCAGCAGCCGAC
rnacentral:rRNA from 1 species